UACGAAGGGGGCUAGCGUUGCUCGGAAUCACUGGGCGUAAAGGGUGCGUAGGCGGGUCUUUAAGUCCGGGGUGAAAUCCUGGAGCUCAACUCCAGAACUGCCUUUGAUACUGAAGAUCUUGAGUUCGGGAGAGGUGAGUGGAACUGCGAGUGUAGAGGUGAAAUUCGUAGAUAUUCGCAAGAACACCAGUGGCGAAGGCGGCUCACUGGCCCGGUACUGACGCUGAGGUGCGAAAGCUAGGGGAGCAAACGGG
rnacentral:rRNA from 1 species